CAUGUCCCAAUAGAAGAUUUUAAAGAAUUGGCCCUAUUUUUUUACACCACUUACAUUUUCCUUACACACCAUUUCAUACAUUUUACUAAACUUAUUAUCAUUUAAAUAAGGCAAUGUUAUAAAUCUCAGCAGUCCUUAAAAUGAGAUUCAGAAGAAAACUUUUUAAUAGUUGGCUGAGAAGGUGUGAUGAUACAGAGGAAAUGUGUAGUUAAAUGGAAUUAACUCUGAAUAACAAUAACAAAAUAUUCGCUCGUCUUGAGAUCCAAAUGAAAAUUCAGUCUACUCUGAGAUGAGGACAGUUCUACAAGUUGACAGUUAGUCACAUUUUAAUUUCUUUCUGUAAUUUUGGACAAAGAAGAGGCAAUAUGCUAAUUCACUUGAUUAUUUAACUGGAAAUGUCUCUUGUCUACAUGGUCUGGACCAGUCUAUGUGACCUAUGCUGAGAUUGACUUCAGAAAGAUGGUCAAAACCCAGAAGAAGAAAAUCAACACAGCCGCCAGAGUCAGAAUAAGUCAAUUCUCCAAGAAAGACAGUCACAGUCCACAGUCCUUGAGGGAGAUGAACACAAUCAGUUGAGGAGCAGGAACAACCAGGGAAUGUGAACUUUGCACACACACUCUUUCUGUAGCUGCAGACAUUACACAGAAAUGUGACACACCCAUCACACACCCAGUCACGUAUGGGCCACACACACAGACAUAUGUUAUUUUAAAUGACAUGGGGUAAUGAUAAUAGGGUAAUGAUAAUAGGGUAAUGAUAAAAGGGUAAUGAUAAUGGAUGUUAUUUUUUUAAAUGACAUGGGGUAAUGAUAAUAGAGUAAUGUUAAUGGAUUUAUUUUUUAAAUGACAUGGGGUAAUGAUAAUAGGGUAAUGAUAAUGGAUGUUAUUUUUUUAAAUGACAUGGGGUAAUGAUAAUAGGGUAAUGAUAAUGGAUGUUUUUUUUAAAUGACAUGGGGUAAUGAUAAUAGGGUAAUGAUAAUAGGGUAAUGAUAAUGGAUUUUAUUUUUUUUAAAUGACAUGGGGUAAUGAUAAUAGGGUAAUGAUAAUAAGGUAAUGAUAAUGGAUAAAAAAUGUUUUUAACGACAUGGGGUAAUGAUAAUGGGGUAAUGAUAAUGGAUUUUAUUUUUUUUAAAUGACAUGGGGUAAUGAUAACAGAGUAAUUUUUUUUAUCUUUGACUUCUUAAAUCAUUCAAAUAACUAAAUGAAAUAUCUGUAAACUAAUUUCUCAAAAUAGAAGAAUUAUCCAGUUUGUUUUCUUGCAAUGGUCUUCAUUUUCACAAUAUCGUUGCUUUUUCUUUUUAAAACAACUGUCAUUGACCAAAGUGCUGUCCAGGACAAAAUGGAAUCAGUUAAAACGUACUCUGAGCUUCAUAAAAAAAGUGAUUUUUACACUGACAAAAAAUAAAUGAAAAUAACUGGGCAUAGUUCACAAAACUCUAAGACAGAACUGUCAAUUGUCAUGCAGGUGACUUUAUGAUCGUCUUCACUCGUGCUGCUGCUUGAAGGGAUGCUGCUGCUUUUGAUGCCUUGAACAUAACUGGUUCAUCUGAAGCCAGCUCCCGUUAGGAAAUUGGUGCUUAGCUAGGUUCAAAUUUUCAUUGCAAUGGAACAUUGUUACAAAAUAAUGCAUGUUUCACAGAAAGAUGUUUGUCUGGAUUUGACAUCUUCAGCGUAUAAUGUUCUGUGGAAGGGAGUGUCAUGGAAAUAAAGUACAUUCUAGUGAAUCCCAAACAAGCCCCACUGUCCUAUGCACGUUAUUUCAGUGCCAUCCGCAGCACUUUGUCGUUAAUAUAGCUCUGAGUGGUGUCUACGUGUUCAUUUGGGAUUGUACCUGUGUUGGCAUGAAAAUUGUAGAGGGGAUCUGGGAUUGAACUUUGGUUGUCCAACAGGGGAGAGAUUUAAUCAAAACACUGAAAGCAAACCUGGUGACUGUUUUUUGCAGAGCAUUCACAUGUUCGUUGUGCAUAACUGUCAAUGUGAUAAUGUCAUUGUCAAUAACAAUCAGUGCAAUCACCACACCUGAAUGUGUUACCAAAUUGUGUAGCUUUUCCAAUAAAAUGGGUGGGUAUGAAAAGGCAUGCAAUUGCAAUGUGUAAUGAAGCACAAUGGCUGCUUUGGCGCUGUUGGAAGAUUUGGCGAAUGGAAGAAUUUGGAGAGAUCAAAUAAUACCAGCAAGUCGUUGAGCUCCGGUGUCCCUUUCCCCGCCUGUGGCACAAACACUUUGUCUGUGUAAUGCGAUAGGCUUUUAGGCCUCCACCUCAAUGUCACACCACUUCUUUUUAAUAUCUGGGAUGGUCCAACCUUCUGAACCUGCCGCAUUCACCACAUGCUGCCACUCUAACGCCUUUUUGGCAUUUGUAAUGCCCACACUGUCAACCAAACAAUAUAUUUUGUUGUUGUUCAACCCCUACAAGAACUUCAAUUUCACACUAGGUGAAAUUCCUUUUUUUAGGUUUUAUGUUGGGAUUUGCCGUCGCUGCGGUAAUGGAGUCAGUAUCGAUUAAUAUUAAUUCAGGGUGUUUCAGUGACCAUGUAUGGGCAAUAAUGGGUCAUAAACAUGAAACCAUUAAAAUACAAUGGCAGUAAUGAUUUUAAAUAUAAAACAUGUAAUUAGGUAAUACAACAUAAAAUACGAUAAUAAAGCUAAUAGUAUUCUCUAUCUUACAGUAAGAGUUAUUUCAACAUAGGAAUUAAUAAUUUUUGCAUUGUAUUGCAUUUUAUGCUGAUAUUCUCAUUAACGCAAUGCGUCCAGCUCUGUCUGAAUGUAUGUUGUGUUGUAAUUUAAACAGAAUAAAUUAUCCA
ensembl:lncRNA